rnacentral:lncRNA from 1 species
GCGGAGAGGUGUUUUCAUCAUCCGCGCGCUGGCGUUUUCAAGCGGCACCGUGAUGACCCUCUUAGCGAUUGCGGCGCCGCACAUUGGAACGGCUGCGCGGCUUUUCGUUUCCUUUUACUCCACUGCCUCGGGUCCAUUCGCUGGGCUCGUUCUUCUGGCCAUCUCCUCGCCCUGGGUCAACGCAAAGGGCGCAGCUUGGGGCACCGUACUGGUCUGCGUGCUGCAGAUGUGGCACGCAAUAGGAAGGAGUCUGGCGUCAGUUGCAACACCUCGCCU